UCUCCGUUGGUGAACCAGCGGAGGGAUCAUUCCAGAGUUAUCUAACUCCCAACCCAUGUGAACUUACCAUUUGUUGCCUCGGCAGAGCCUACCCGGUAACUGUUCGGAGAAGCUACCCUGUAGCUACCCUGUAGUCCGCCGAAGGAUUUUACAAAACUCUUGUUUUUCAGUUGUUAUCUCUGAGAAAAUAUAUAAAUAAGUCAAAACAUUCAACAACGGAUCUCUUGGUUCUGGCAUCGAUGAAGAACGCAGC
rnacentral:misc_RNA from 1 species